rnacentral:rRNA from 1 species
UUAAGCGACUAAGCGUACACGGUGGAUGCCUAGGCAAUCAGAGGCGAUGAAGGACGUGCUAAUCUGCGAUAAGCGUCGGUAAGGUGAUAUGAACCGUUACAACCGACGAUUUCCGAAUGGGGAAACCCAGUGCAAUUCGUUGCACUAUCGUUUGAUGAAUACAUAGUCAAACGAAGCGAACCGGGGGAACUGAAACAUCUCAGUACCCCGAGGAAAAGAAAUCAACCGAGAUUCCCCUAGUAGCGGCGAGCGAACGGGGAGCAGCCCAGAGUCUUAAUCAGCAUUAGCAUCAGGAGAACGGUCUGGAAAGUCCGGCAGUAAAGGGUGAUAGCCCCGUAUCCGAAGGUGUUAGUGUUGUGAACUCGACGAGUAGGGCGGGACACGUGUUAUCCUGUCUGAAUAUGGGGGGACCAUCCUCCAAGGCUAAAUACUCCUGAUUGACCGAUAGUGAACCAGUACCGUGAGGGAAAGGCGAAAAGAACCCCGGCGAGGGGAGUGAAAUAGAACCUGAAACCGUGUACGUACAAGCAGUGGGAGCCUUGAUUUAUCAGGGUGACUGCGUACCUUUUGUAUAAUGGGUCAGCGACUUAUAUUCUGUAGCAAGGUUAACCGUAUAGGGGAGCCGUAGGGAAACCGAGUCUUAACUGGGCGAAUAAGUUGCAGGGUAUAGACCCGAAACCCGGUGAUCUAGCCAUGGGCAGGUUGAAGGUUGGGUAACACUAACUGGAGGACCGAACCGACUAAUGUUGAAAAAUUAGCGGAUGACUUGUGGCUGGGGGUGAAAGGCCAAUCAAACCGGGAGAUAGCUGGUUCUCCCCGAAAGCUAUUUAGGUAGCGCCUCGUGAACUCAUCUUCGGGGGUAGAGCACUGUUUCGACUAGGGGGUCAUCCCGACUUACCAACUCGAUGCAAACUACGAAUACCGAAGAAUGUUAUCACGGGAGACACACGGCGGGUGCUAACGUUCGUCGUGAAGAGGGAAACAACCCAGACCGCCAGCUAAGGUCCCAAAGUCAUAGUUAAGUGGGAAACGAAGUGGGAAGGCUCAGACAGCCAGGAUGUUGGCUUAGAAGCAGCCAUCAUUUAAAGAAAGCGUAAUAGCUCACUGGUCGAGUCGGCCUGCGCGGAAGAUGUAACGGGGCUAAACUAUGCACCGAAGCUGCGGCAGCGAUAUUUAGAUAUUGUUGGGUAGGGGAGCGUUCUGUAAGCCUGUGAAGGUGUGCUGUGAGGCAUGCUGGAGGUAUCAGAAGUGCGAAUGCUGACAUAAGUAACGAUAAUGCGGGUGAAAAACCCGCACGCCGGAAGACCAAGGGUUCCUGUCCAACGUUAAUCGGGGCAGGGUGAGUCGACCCCUAAGGCGAGGCAGAAAUGCGUAGUCGAUGGGAAACGGGUUAAUAUUCCCGUACUGGUGAUAAUUGCGAUGGGGGGACGGAGAAGGCUAGGCUAUCCGGGCGACGGUUGUCCCGGUUUAAGGAUGUAGGCAGGUGAAUUAGGCAAAUCCGGUUCACUAUAUGCUGAGGUCCGAUGACGAGUCACUACGGUGAUGAAGUAGCUCAUGCCCCGCUUCCAGGAAAAGCCUCUAAGCUCUAGAUUAUCAUUAAUCGUACCCCAAACCGACACAGGUGGUCAGGUAGAGAAUACUCAGGCGCUUGAGAGAACUCGGGUGAAGGAACUAGGCAAAAUGGUGCCGUAACUUCGGGAGAAGGCACGCUGGCAUUAGGUGAAGUGAUUUACUCAUGGAGCUGAAGCCAGUCGCAGAUACCAGCUGGCUGCAACUGUUUAUUAAAAACACAGCACUGUGCAAACACGAAAGUGGACGUAUACGGUGUGACGCCUGCCCGGUGCUGGAAGGUUAAUUGAUGGGGUUAUCCGUAAGGAGAAGCUCUUGAUCGAAGCCCCAGUAAACGGCGGCCGUAACUAUAACGGUCCUAAGGUAGCGAAAUUCCUUGUCGGGUAAGUUCCGACCUGCACGAAUGGCGUAAUGAUGGCCAGGCUGUCUCCACCCGAGACUCAGUGAAAUUGAACUCGCUGUGAAGAUGCAGUGUACCCGCGGCAAGACGGAAAGACCCCGUGAACCUUUACUAUAGCUUGACACUGAACAUUGAGCCUUGAUGUGUAGGAUAGGUGGGAGGCUUUGAAGCGUGGACGCCAGUCUGCGUGGAGCCAACCUUGAAAUACCACCCUUUAAUGUUUGAUGUUCUAACGUUGCCCCAUUAUCUGGGGUGCGGACAGUGUCUGGUGGGUAGUUUGACUGGGGCGGUCUCCUCCCAAAGAGUAACGGAGGAGCACGAAGGUUGGCUAAGCAUGGUCGGACAUCAUGCGGUUAGUGCAAAGGCAUAAGCCAGCUUGACUGCGAGAGUGACGGCUCGAGCAGGUACGAAAGUAGGUCUUAGUGAUCCGGUGGUUCUGAAUGGAAGGGCCAUCGCUCAACGGAUAAAAGGUACUCCGGGGAUAACAGGCUGAUACCGCCCAAGAGUUCAUAUCGACGGCGGUGUUUGGCACCUCGAUGUCGGCUCAUCACAUCCUGGGGCUGAAGUAGGUCCCAAGGGUACGGCUGUUCGCCGUUUAAAGUGGUACGCGAGCUGGGUUUAGAACGUCGUGAGACAGUUCGGUCCCUAUCUGCCGUGGGCGUUGGAAGAUUGAAAGGGGCUGCUCCUAGUACGAGAGGACCGGAGUGGACGCACCACUGGUGUUCGGGUUGUCAUGCCAAUGGCAUUGCCCGGUAGCUAAGUGCGGAAGAGAUAACCGCUGAAAGCAUCUAAGCGGGAAACUUGCCUUGAGAUGAGUCUUCCCUGACUCUUUAAGGGUCCUAAAGGAACGUUUAAGACUAAGACGUUGAUAGGUUGGGUGUGUAAGCGUAGCGAUACGUUGAGCUAACCAAUACUAAUGAACCGUGAGGCUUAACCUG